CGCCAAAAAACUCGAGAGAAUAAGAAGAAGAGGAAGAAGAAGAAGAAGAUCUUAGUCUUCAAAACACGAGCAGCAGACAGAAUGCCAAGGAAAGAAAGAAUCAAAAGAAAAAAAACACAAGGAAAUCUCUGAUGCAGCCAAAGGUAGCAUCCUCCUCACAAGUUGGCUAAGGAGAGAGAAUAAAGAUGAAGUUGAACAUCAGUUGGCUCUAGUACUGAUGCUACUAUUACACACUGGCACAUCGACAGUAGAAGUCCUCACUUACCAGCACGAGGACCUGGUCACAAGGCAGAUAUUCAUAUGCACACGCUGCCUCCAGGAAGCCACAUGAGUAAACACUGCACUGCAACUGAGGACACCACCUGCUCGCCAU